CUCGUAGGCGGUUUGGUCGCGUCCGGUGUGAAAGUCCAUCGCUUAACGGUGGAUCCGCGCCGGGUACGGGCGGGCUUGAGUGCGGUAGGGGAGACUGGAAUUCCCGGUGUAACGGUGGAAUGUGUAGAUAUCGGGAAGAACACCAAUGGCGAAGGCAGGUCUCUGGGCCGUCACUGACGCUGAGGAGCGAAAGCGUGGGGAGCGAACA
rnacentral:rRNA from 1 species